ACGCGAGGAACCUUACCAGGUCUUGACAUCCCAUUGACUGCUAUGGAGACAUAGCUUUCCCUUCGGGGACAGUGGUGACAGGUGGUGCAUGGUUGUCGUCAGCUCGUGUCGUGAGAUGUUGGGUUAAGUCCCGCAACGAGCGCAACCCUUGAUCUUAGUUGCCAGCAUUUAGUUGGGCACUCUAAGGUGACUGCCGGUGACAAACCGGAGGAAGGUGGGGAUGACGUCAAAUCAUCAUGCCCCUUAUGACCUGGGCUACACACGUGCUACAAUGGAUGGUACAAAGGGCUGCAAGACCGCGAGGUUUAGCCAAUCCCAUAAAACCAUUCUCAGUUCGGAUUGCAGGCUGCAACUCGCCUGCAUGAAGCUGGAAUCGCUAGUAAUCGCGGAUCAGCAUGCCGCGGUGAAUACGUUCCCGGGCCUUGCACUCACCGCCCGU
rnacentral:rRNA from 1 species